CGGGGCGUAGCUCAGCCUGGUAGAGCACCUGCUUUGGGAGCAGGGGGUCGCGAGUUCGAGUCCCGCCGCCCCGACCA
rnacentral:tRNA from 1 species